GUGUCAGCAGCCGCGGUAAUACGGAGGGUGCAAGCGUUGUCCGGAUUUAUUGGGUUUAAAGGGUGCGUAGGUGGCCUUAUAAGUCAGCGGUGAAAGUCUGCAGCUUAACUGUAGAACUGCCAUUGAUACUGUAAGGCUUGAGUACUGAUGAGGUAGGCGGAAUUGAUAGUGUAGCGGUGAAAUGCAUAGAUAUUAUCAAGAACACCGAUUGCGAAGGCAGCUUACUAAGGAGUUACUGACACUGAGGCACGAAAGCGUGGGGAUCAAACAGGAUUAGAUACCCCUGUAGUCC
rnacentral:rRNA from 1 species